GGUUUUGUCGAAAAAACCCCGCGCAACCCACCCCCAAACCCUAGCCGCCGCCUCCGCCUCCCCCUUGCGCCGUCCCGGUUGCCGACCGCCGCCGCUGCCGCCUCCGCCUCCCCCUCGCGCCGCCACCGCCGCCGCCGCUGAGCGCCAUCGCCGUCCCCCAUCGCGCUGCCACCUCCGCCUCCCGCCGUCCCCAUUGCCGACCGCCUCCGCCUCCGCCUCCGCCAACCCUAGCCGCCGCUGCCAGUCCCCUCCUCCCUUCGGUGAGGCGAGCAGCCAUCUCCGCCUUGGCCACCGCCGUCGCUGAGCGCUGCCGCUUCCGCCUCCGCCUCACGCCGCCGCUACCAACAGCCGCCUCCGGCCGCCGGCGUCCGGAUCUGGGCUCCAUGUGGCCGCAGGCGUACAGAUCCGCCCUCCGUUGCCGCUGCCAUCAAAGAAACGACGGUGGUGACGAAGCCGGCAUCAAUGAAGGCGGUGGCUGCGGCGAGAAGAGGUGAACCGUACAUCGCCAGGCUGAUCUGCCGACGAGCUCGGCGGCAACAUGGUCGGUCAACUGGCGCUACGGUCGAUCUGGAUGGCUCACUCACAAGGCAAGCCUGUCAUCACAAUGUCCUAGAGCCGGGUCGCCCCAUUGAGGGUCUGGUGCUGCGUCCCUCCUCAUCCUCUCCCUCACGCAGCUACAAGAUUGGAAUCACUCCGGUUAACGAGAAACGCGUCCAGCCAACCACUUCUCCUCGGUGACUAUUUUUCUCUUCCCUCCAGCCCUGGCAGCAAUAGAGCAAGCUCAUGUCACCGUAGUCGCAUGCUCUUGGGGGAGGAGAUACUAGCAGCCGGCCUAAGGAAAUCUUCAAUUCUUCAUCGCCGUCGCUUCCUCAAGUUCAAGAACUGGUGUAAUAGUUGAUAGAGCUAUACUUGCAGAAGAUAAAAAACAUGGUGGCUUCAAGAGCUCCAAGGAGUGAAUCUCCAUGGCUAAAGAAGCCCAUGCAUGGAGUUUCAGGCUCAACUGCCAUGGCUAGCACCCCAUGGAGCUCGAUGCCACCAAGCAGCCAUUCCCUGGGUUUCUUUCCUGUAGGGAAAGGAAAGGUGAUUUCAGUUGCCUGACUGUUGCUGGAAUCUGUGAAGCAUCUACAAGCGAUGCCAUCGGUUCAGGCAGCUGGCACAGCAAUGCUGGUUCCCCUUGCCCCAUAUCCAACUCCUGUGCCAUUUACACCUCCCAAUGGGGCCCAAAGCCAGCUCGUCUGCUCUGGGUGCCGUAACCUGCUCAUGUAUCCAGCCGGAGCAACGUCGAUUUGCUGCGCAGUCUGCGGUACCGUGACCGCGGUGCCUGCCCCCGAAAUCUAGCUGCAAUGUUCACGAAAAUAAAGAGAGAUUAAAGGGGAAUACAAAUGGCUUCAGGGCUCCGCAACGGUGCGCGCGUCGCGUUGAUGGUGCCUGCACUCAGGUCGCUCGAGAAGUACACACUGAAGUUGCUCUGGUCAUAUUUACAUUGUUGUGUGUAACUCUUCCUGGUUUGCUUUUCAGUCUAGGAUAGAGAUUUACAUGUCAAAGAGUCAGUGCACUUUUGAAAGUGUAAUGCGAUGCAAGUAAAAACAGUUUUGGACAAGAUCGAAAGGAUCCAUGUCAUUUGCUGUCAGAAUAGUAAUGUUUGUUACUUAAUGAGGUUUGUUACAAACCUUAAUUACAGGAAUAGCAUUGUAGUAGUUCUUAACUUUUUACACUCCUAUUUGUAGAUGUACAAUUAUCAGAUGGACUAUUUUAUACACUACUUUCUCCCUCUCUAUAUAGCAUUUACAUUUAUUUA